UACAGAGGUCUCAAGCGUUGUUCGGAUUCAUUGGGCGUAAAGGGUGCGUAGGUGGCGAGGUUAGUCAGGUGUGAAAUCUCGGGGCUCAACCCCGAAACUGCACUUGAUACUGCCUUGCUAGAGUACUGGAGAGGAGAUUGGAAUUUACGGUGUAGCGGUGAAAUGCGUAGAGAUCGGAAGGAACACCAGUGGCGAAGGCGGCUACCUGGACAAAUACUGACGCUGAGGCGCGAAAGCGUGGGGAGCAAACAGG
rnacentral:rRNA from 1 species